rnacentral:sRNA from 1 species
UUGUAUGAAUUUUAGAAGAACUAAAAGAAAAACUUAAAAAAGAAAGCUUAGAUUCAAUUGAUAUUAGAUUAAAAGAUCAAUCUGAAA